AUAAACAGGCAGGAAAUUAAACUGACAAUGUGAAAUGGCCAAUCUUCCACCAUUUUCUUUUCAUUCUUCUUUAGAUAUUUUUCCUGGGCCCAGACUACCUUUCCUCACCAUCUGUAAUAAAGUAUAGGUCAGAGGGGCUGCGAUUGAAGAGGAGGUGGGGCUUUCAGUGUUCAAAAGAGAUUAAAGGAGAAAUAUACUUCCAAAGAUUAAAAGACCCCCUCAAACAUAUCAAAUUGAGAUAAAACUCACCGUGGCCUAUAGAUCUAAGACUGGUCUCUGUUAACAAAUGCACCUCAGCAAACUCAGGACUUGAGAAGCCUUAGCCUUGGGGCUGCCCAGGGCUCUGCCACAGCUCAGAUGGAUACUUACUCAACCAGCAACUUAACUCUGUCAUUGGGCUGCUGCAUGUCACUGGAGGUCACCUUUCAUCUGGGAGAAGCAAAUGCCUUUUGUCUUCAGAGCUGAAAAAACUCAGUCUUUCAUUUACCUAUGAAAGCAACAGUUCAGUUCCUCAUGCAAAUGUGCACAGACAAGCUGAAUGGAGAUUAAUUUGGGGAGAAAAAGUAAGGGGAGAAAACCCCUUAGAAUGCAUCUCCGAACUAGAAUUCGGAUCCUUAAACAACAAUUGCGUAGGAGAAAAACAACAACAAUAACAACAGCCAAGACCACUUCCUGUAAACUGUGCUCUGCCACUCCUACUUUGCAGCUGUCAUGCACCAUUACACGUGCCAAGGUCAAAUCCUCUCACAGAACAAUGUAAUCUCUGGUAGUCUCAAAAUCAAAGAGUUCAGGUCAUGCAAUACAGGAAAACCGAACUUUAGACCUAAGAAGAACCUGCCUAUGACUCUUGAAAAUCCACACAGUAAACAGAACACCCCAAAAGUGCUGCAAGGAAUUUUGGCCAAAUUAGAGCGGCUUUGAUACCCAUAAUUUGGAAUUCUCAUUCCAAUUUGACCAAGUCAGAUAAAGUUGGUCAAAUCUGAUGGGGGAAAGACUAGAACAAACAACAGCAGCAGCAACAACAACAAAACCCCAAUAAUAUGAUCACUGAGCACCCUAAUGAAAAGAAUAAAUUAAUACUACCCCAAUUAGGCUACUUACCUAGGAAUGGGUCUUAGGCUGAAGACUGCUUUCUACCAUCCUAGAAGCAGGGAAAAAACAACCAGAAACAAAACAAAAAAACAAACUCAUCUUUCUUGCUGUGAGUGAACUCAAACUCCAUAAAGGGGUUACCUGCCUUUGAUCAUCACGGAAACAGGAAAUUUUGCCUUCCUUGUUGGAAGCAACUAAAACUCCAAAAGAAAAAAAAGGAAUUAUAAAGCAAAAUAAACUUCAGGUCUUGACCAAAUUUUGGGAAACCAGGGAUUCUCUCGAGGGGGUGCUCCCAGACCUCAGCCAGGUGUCCUAUUGGUUUGGGCCAUAAAGUUAGCUCAUGCUGGUACCAAGCACCAACAAGAGAUUUAUCAAGGGUCAGGGCAUCUUCACUCAGAAACCCUCCAUGGUUACCAAAAUGUGAACUCUGAAAAUCUGAGACAGGUCUCAGUUAAUUUAGAAAGUUUAUUUUGUUAAAUUUGAGGUUGCGCACCUGUGACACAGCCCCAGGAGGUCCUGUCGACAUGUGCCCAAGGUGGCUAGAGGCACAGCUUGGUUUUAUACAUUUUAGGAAGACAUGAGACAUCAAUCAAUAUGUGUAAGAUGCACAUUGGUUCAGACUGGAAAGGUGGGACAACCCGAGGUGAAGGUGGGACAACUCCAAGAGAGGAGGGGCCUUCCAGGUCAUAGAAAACGACUGUCCUCCUAUGACUAGGACUUGAAAGGACUUUUUUUCCUGGAUGAAUACCUUAGUCACAAAGGAUGUAUGUAAGGGGUAAUACCAAAGUUCUCACGACUCAGAAGAAUUUAGAUGAACCCUCGCUCUGUCACCCAGGCUAGAGUGCAGUGGCGUGAUCUUGGCUCACUGCAACCUCUGCCUCCCAGGUUCAAGUGAUUCUCCUGCCUCAGCCUCCCAAAUAGCUGGGACUACAGGUGCCAGCCACGAUGCCCAGCUAAUUUUUUGCACUUUUAGUAGAGACAGGGUUUCACCAUGUUGGCCAGGCUGGUCUCAAACUCCUGAUAUCAGGUGACCCGCCCGCCUCGGCCUCCCAAAGUGCUGGGAUUACAGGAAUGAGCCACCACGCCCGGCCAGGGUCAACAUUUUAUUUCAAAUCUUUAAUAUUCUAUAUUCAGUAGAAGGCUUUUUUAGAAAAAGUCUAAAUAAGAUUCUGACAAAUCAAAAGAAUAGUUUUGCUUACUAACAACACUUUAUACUAAUAGUGGAAUACAAUACUUAAAAAAUAUUUAAUUUGCAAGUGAUGAUUGACUACUAAAAUCUCCUUUUGGCGAAUGUAAAAAUUUAAGAAGCUCCAGGACAAAGUACUGGAAACUUUAAUAGCAGAUGAGCAUUCAUCCCCUCCCAAAUGUUUUUAUUUUGUUUAGACUGAAACUUUCAUUAGACGUGGUUGAAAACCAUGAAACCUAUGUACAAAUUGUCUUAAGUAUUCGAUAUUUAAUUUAAAAACUGUGAGCACUGAAGCAUAGAUAAAUUGUAAUUACAGAACAAUUUAAUUUUUUUAAUGAUUCACAUAAGAAAAACAAAUCUUUUUUCUUUAUAGUUAUAUCCAUAUAAUUAUGGUUAUAUCCAUAUAGUUAUAUAGGUUAUAUCCAUAUAGUUAUAGAAAUACAUGUUAUGGUUAUAUCCAUACAGUUAUAUAUAUAUAUAUAAUUAUAGUAAUAUCCAUAUAAGCAUAUAUUUGUUUAUAUUUCUGGGAAAUAAAUAUAAUAUGUAUAAUAUCCAUUCAAAUUUAGAAAUUGUUUUCUUACUCUCAGACUGCUUAUCAUGUCUAUCUAUCUAUCUAUCGGGGUAUGUUUAAGUUUAAAAGUAAAGUUGUCAUUUUUUAAAAACAUUGUGACUCCAAAAAUAAUAUCUGAUGUUGCUGUACAUGAGCACCAUGUAUCUUUCAUCUAACCUGCAGAAAAAUUAAAAUGAUUUAAUCUCACA
rnacentral:lncRNA from 1 species